rnacentral:rRNA from 1 species
GACGAACGCUGGCGGCGUGCUUAACACAUGCAAGUCGAACGGAAAGGCCCUGCUUUUGUGGGGUGCUCGAGUGGCGAACGGGUGAGUAACACGUGAGUAACCUGCCCUUGACUUUGGGAUAACUUCAGGAAACUGGGGCUAAUACCGGAUAGGAGCUCCUGCUGCAUGGUGGGGGUUGGAAAGUUUCGGCGGUUGGGGAUGGACUCGCGGCUUAUCAGCUUGUUGGUGGGGUAGUGGCUUACCAAGGCUUUGACGGGUAGCCGGCCUGAGAGGGUGACCGGCGACAUGGGGACUGAGAUAGGGCGCAGAAUCCUACGGGAGGCAGCAGUGGGGAAUAUUGCACAAUGGGCGGAAGCCUGAUGCAGCAACGCCGCGUGCGGGAUGCCGGGCUUCGGGUUGUAAACCGCUUUCGCCUGUGACGAAGCGUGAGUGACGGUACUGGGUCAAGAAGCACCGGCUAACUACGUG